rnacentral:lncRNA from 12 species
AUGAAUUGGUGUGUUACAAAGAAUUAAGUGAGGAUCUCACCUGUACCUGGCUGCCGGUACCUAGUGCUGCAAAUACAGUUAAUUAUACUGUAUACUUAAAAUGGAACAAAAUACGAAAACUUUUUCGACGAAACACAUCAUCACCUUCCAUCACAAUAGAACGAAAGAAUCUCUACCUUGAGAGAUUUGCAUCCAUUUGGAUAGCAGUGAAUUAUCCCCAUGACAGCUGUGCAAAAGGAAAGAACAUCUCAGUUUUACCAAGCAAAGCAGGGAAGUGCUUGUCACCAUCUAACAUAAAUGCUUAUC